rnacentral:rRNA from 1 species
GAUGAACGCUGGCGGCGUGCCUAAUACAUGCAAGUCGAGCGAACGGACGAGAAGCUUGCUUCUCUGAUGUUAGCGGCGGACGGGUGAGUAACACGUGGAUAACCUACCUAUAAGACUGGGAUAACUUCGGGAAACCGGAGCUAAUACCGGAUAAUAUUUUGAACCGCAUGGUUCAAAAGUGAAAGACGGUCUUGCUGUCACUUAUAGAUGGAUCCGCGCUGCAUUAGCUAGUUGGUAAGGUAACGGCUUACCAAGGCAACGAUGCAUAGCCGACCUGAGAGGGUGAUCGGCCACACUGGAGCUGAGACGCGGUCCAGACUCCUACGGGAGGCAGCAGUAGGGAAUCUUACGCAAUGGGCGAAAGCCUGACGGAGCAACGGCGCGUGAGUGAUGAAGGUCUUCGGAUCGUAAAACUCUGUUAUUAGGGAAGAACAUAUGUGUAAGUAACUGUGCACAUCCUGACGGUACCUAAUCAGAAAGCCACGGCUAACUACGUG